GUGCUGGCUUUGGCAGCACACACACUUAACCUGAACAGCACAGAGAGCAGCAUGGUCCCUGCACAAGGAUGACAUGAAGAUCUGUGAAGUGUUCCACACUUUU